rnacentral:lncRNA from 1 species
CUGGUUCGGCUCUUGGCUCUGGUUCGGCUCUUGGCUCUGGUUCGCCUCUUGGCUCUGGUACGGCUCUGCGGCUUUGGUUCGGCUCUGCGGCUCUGGUUCGGCUCUUGGCUCUGGUUCGGCUCUUGAACUCUGGUACGGCUCUUGGCUCUGCUGCUUCUGUUCUCCCGGGCCUAGCGUCGUCUAUCUGCUACUGGGUUUGUUUAGUGUGGACUGUAGUUGUAGGAUCUCCUUUUUUCUCGAUAAGGACCAUGUAUAAUGUAAACACCAAGUAGCGAUAAAGGUAUUUAUUGAUAGAACCGACACUAGGGUAUUUGUACCCCGGGAGAACUGUUGAACACUGACUCGUUACUGGAGCGCGUUUAGUUGAAGACUGAUGAAGACUCUCUCUCUAGGCGAGAUUUGUUAGUUUUAUAGAAGCUUAAAUUAGGUCAUCGGUGACACGAUGCCCGCGUGAUUUGUAUAUCUAAUCAAGGUAAAUAAUUCUACUUUCGUCAGCACUUUCGUAUCAUUUCCAAAUUAUAUUGUUGAUAAUUGACCAAUUUGUAUCUAAACUAAUAAUCCACAUGUGUGAAUAUAA